rnacentral:antisense_RNA from 1 species
CUUCAGCGAACCCAGCCACAGCGGGCGCUCCGGAUCGCGAUCCCGCCCGUACGUCGCCAGCAGAGCCUGCGCCUC